rnacentral:tRNA from 1 species
GAUGUAAAUUAUGCUCAUUCUUACAAGAUGGGUUAGUCAAGGAAUUUGACUUACAUUA